rnacentral:rRNA from 1 species
GCUGGUUCUGGAUGAGUGGCGAACGGGUGAGUAACACGUGAGUAACCUGCCCCCUUCUUCUGGAUAACCGCAUGAAAGUGUGGCUAAUACGGGAUAUUCUGGGUCUGUCGCAUGACGGGCCCGGGAAAGAUAUUGCUUCGGUGGGGGAUGGGCUCGCGGCCUAUCAGCUUGUUGGUGGGGUGAUGGCCUACCAAGGCGGUGACGGGUAGCCGGCCUGAGAGGGUGGACGGUCACACUGGGACUGAGACACGGCCCAGACUCCUACGGGAGGCAGCAGUGGGGAAUAUUGCACAAUGGGCGCAAGCCUGAUGCAGCGACGCCGCGUGAGGGAUGGAGGCCUUCGGGUUGUAAACCUCUUUCGCCAGUGAAGCAGGCCUGCUCCUUGUGGGUGGGUUGACGGUAGCUGGAUAAGAAGCGCCGGCUAACUACGUGCCAGCAGCCGCGGUAAUACGUAGGGCGCGAGCGUUGUCCGGAAUUAUUGGGCGUAAAGAGCUCGUAGGCGGCUGGUCGCGUCUGUCGUGAAAUCCUCUGGCUUAACUGGGGGCUUGCGGUGGGUACGGGCCGGCUUGAGUGCGGUAGGGGAGACUGGAACUCCUGGUGUAGCGGUGGAAUGCGCAGAUAUCAGGAAGAACACCGGUGGCGAAGGCGGGGUCUCUGGGCCGUUACUGACGCUGAGGAGCGAAAGCGUGGGGGAGCGAACAGGAUUAGAUACCCUGGUAGUCCACGCCGUAAACGUUGGGCACUAGGGUGGUGGGGGGGCCUUUUCCCGGGUCUUCCGCGCCGUAGCUAACGCAUUAAGUGCCCGCCCUGGGGGGAGUACGGCCGCAAGGCUAAAACUCAAAGGAAUUGACGGGGGCCCGCACAAGCGGCGGAGCAUGCGGAUUAAUUUCGGAUGCAACGCGAAGAACCUUACCAGGCUUGACAUGUGCCGGUCGGCUCCGGAGACGGGCUUCCUCCUUGUGGGCGUCACAGUGUGCAUGUGUCGUCAGCUCGUGUCGUG